AGCGAACGUUUGCGGCGGGCUUAACACAUGCAAGUCGAACGAGAAUCCCUUCGGGGAGGAAAGUGGCGCACGGGUGCGUAACACGUGGAUAACCAACCCAUUGGUUUGGGACAACACCGGGAAACUGGUGCUAAUACCAGAUGUGUCGCAGCUGUCUUCAGGCGGUUGCGAGAAAGGCCCGCAAAGGGUCGCCAACGGACGGGUCCGCGUCCCAUCAGCUAGUUGGUGAGGUAAUGGCUCACCAAGGCAAAGACGGGUAGCUGGUCUGAGAGGAUGAUCAGCCACACUGGAACUGAGACACGGUCCAGACUCCUACGGGAGGCAGCAGUGGGGAAUAUUGCGCGAAUGGGCGAAAGCCUGACGCAGCCACGCCGCGUGAGCGAUGAAGGUCUUCGGAUCGUAAAGCUCUGUGGGGGGAGAAGAAGAAAGCCGGUGAAGAGCCGGCCCUGACGGUAUCCCCUUAGCAAGCACCGGCUAACUCCGUGCCAGCAGCCGCGGUAAAGUAGACG
rnacentral:rRNA from 1 species